AUGACUCUUGGGUAAAUAAUAAAAUUAAGGCAGAAAUCAAGAAGUUCUUUGAAACUAAUGAGAACAAAGAGACAAUGUACCAGAAUCUCAAACUAAAUGCCCAUCCCUGAUAGGCUGGAUAAAGAAAAUGUGGUACAUAUAUACCAUGGAAUACUAUGCAGCCAUAAAAAGGAACGAGAUCAUGUCCUUUGCAGGGACAUGGAUGGAGUUGGAAGUCAUUAAAUUAGCCGGGCGUGGUGGCAGGCGCCUGUAAUAUCAGCUACUCGGGAGGCUGAGGCAGGAGAAUGGUGUGAACCCGGGAGGUGGAGCUUGCAGUGAGCCGAGAUGGUGCCACUGCACUCCAGCCUGGGCAACAGAGCGAGACUCUUAAAAAAAAAAAAAAAAAAAAAAAAGUGCCUGUGUCAUAAAGUUAACAUUAAAUAAAAGUUGAAAGCCAAGAACCAAUUAGGAGAGAAAACAUUAACAUUUGUAAAAUAUAAAGGAUUAAUAUUCACAUUAUAAAAGAAAUACUACAAUCUAUAAGGAAAGGACAAAAACACAAUAGAAAUGUACUAAGUAAACAAAUAGGCAGUUCUGCAAAGAAGAAAUGAAAAUACACAAUUAUUUGAAAAGAUCCUCAUCUUCACUGAUAAAAAGGGAUAAUAAUUAAUCAACUCUUUUAUUAAUAAAGAGUUUGCAUUCUUUUUUGGGACGAAGCCUUUGGAAUUAGUGUGUGUUGCACACUGCACAUGUAUAGCACAUCUCAAUUCGAACCAGCUCCAUUUCAAGUGUUCAGUAGCUAUAUAUGGUUGCUGUCAUGGUAAUCUCAGCUCUUUUCAAAGUGUCUGGGGCCCAGCAUCACCUUGUAGAGUCUGGGGAAAGGUCAAUAAAAAUCCUCUGGAGAAUACAGUUGCAGGGAGACGGGGUUUCGCUGUGUUGGCCGGGCUGGUCUCCAGCUCCUAACCCCAAGUGAUCUGCCAGCCUUGGCCUCCCGAGGUGCCGGGAUUGCAGACGGAGUCUCGUUCACUCAGUGCUCAAUGUUGCCCAGGCUGGAGUGCAGUGGCGUGAUCCCCGCUCGCUACAACCUCCACCUCCCAGCCGCCUGCCUUGGCCUCCCAAAGUGCCGAGAUUGCAGCUUCUGCCCGGCCGCCACCCCCUCUGGGAAGUGAGGAGCAUCUCUGCCUGGCCGCCCAUCGUCUGGGAUGUCAGGAGCCCCUCUGCCUUUAAAAUAAAAUUAGAACAAAAAUACAAAAAAGUCACUUGGUGUUUUCUUUUCUUUUUUUUGAGACAGGGUCUUGCUCUGUCACCCAGGCUGGAGUUCAGUGGCCCAUCCAUAGCUCACUGCAGCCUCGACCUCCUGGGCUUCAAAGUGAUCCUCCUGCCUCAGCCUGCCAAGCAGCUAGGACUGUAAGUACACGCCAUCAAAUUUGGAUAAUUUUUUUACAUUUUUUUAUAGAGACGGCAUCUCACUAGGUUUCUCAGGCUGGUCUUGAACUCCUAGCCUCAGGGAUCUUCCCACCUCAGCCUCCAAAAGCACUAAGGAUUACAGGCAUGAGCCAUCAUGCCUGGCCCAUUUGUUCUUUUUAAAUGAUAUAAAAAGCCUGAUGCAUUAUAAAUAUGCACAGCACUUAUUAUGAGUUCUCAGUGGAAGCAAAUUAGAACUCUGGAUUUUCCUGGCUAACAUGGUGAAACCCCGUCUCUACAAAAAAUACAAAAAAAUUAGCCAGGCGUGGUGGCGGGUGACUGUAAUCCCAGCUACUCAGGAGGCUGAGGCAGGAGAAUGGCGUGAACACAGCAAUCACAAAACCCUGUGGUAGGGACAAGUCUAAUUAGAACUGGGGUUGGUCAUCACCAGGUAGCAGGAACCAUAAGGGGAAAGGUGAUUCCACAGGAUUCGUAAACAGCUUCUGCUGUUUCAUGGGACGUAACACAAAAGAAAUUUCAAAAACACCACUGCAGCCCAGGCACGGUGGUUCACUCCUGUAAUCCCAGCACUUUGGGAGGCCGAGGCGGGCAGAUCACAAGGGG
rnacentral:lncRNA from 10 species